CUAAAGUAAACCAAUUUUCACUUUUUACCUACGAUGUUUAACUCUUCGUCAUAUUCAAAAAAAUAUUGCGAUUAAUAUUUUUAUUUUUAUUAGAUGAUAAAUCAUGAAUUGUACUUUACAUGUGACUAAUUUUUUUUAAUUUCUUAAAAAAUUUAAAUAAGACGGAUAGUUAAUAUACUGGGCAUGAAAACAAAAAGUUUAAUUUAUU
rnacentral:pre_miRNA from 1 species